UCAUUACAGGAACAGAUUCCUGUUACACAACUUGUUAGAGAAACUGCAGCUGUUAUGCAGGAGUUCACUUAAUCUGGUGGUGUAAGGCCUUUCGGAGUUUCACUGCUCGUUGCUGGUUUUGAUGCCGAUGGUCCACAAUUAUAGCAGGUGGACCCAUCAGGGUCAUACUUCUCUUGGAAAGCUUCUGCGAUGGGGAAGAAUGUCUCUAAUGCAAAGUCAUUUCUUGAGAAGAGGUACACUGAUGAUAUGGAGCUUGAUGAUGCAGUGCAUACAGCGAUUUUGACAC